rnacentral:lncRNA from 1 species
AUGGUCGGCGAUGUAGUGCACGGUCUGCUCCCUCAGCUCUCGGUGCAGGCUCUGGUCGCCGUACACAGUCUUGCUGACAGCUCGGUACAGGCAGUUGCCGUCGGGAAUGAUGUGGAAUCGAUACUUAUUUCUCUGCCGCAGGUAUUUAUCCUGCUUCUCCACCUCGGCCAGGUACAGGGCCAGCUUCUCGUCUCUGGGAUCCGACCUGGGGACAACCACCGGCUCCACCGCGCUGCUCGGGGCAGCCUCGCUGCUCCGGCCGGGAGACACCUCGGCCUCCGGGUCGGGCCUCCGAGCCGCGUUCCCGCCAGGCGCGUCGCAGCGGUCGCCGCCCCUCUCCCAGGCCCGGGGGCCCCUCUCCGCCAGGUGCUCCUCGCCCCACGGACCGGGGCCGGCGUCGGGACUCCCCGGGGUGGGCGCGAGGCCUCGAUGCUUGGCAGCGGCCAGGGCCUGGCAGUGCUCGCUCAGUCGGAAGUUCCGAUCGGGCCCCUCCCGGGCCGCCUCCAAGCCCGUCUCGGGGCAGUCGGGCCGCAGCAGCUCCUCCAGGAGCCAGGCGGAAGAGCCCCGUCGCGGCGGGAUGGGGGCUGCGGGCGCCGGGGCCAGCAGGAGGCAGCGGCCGCGCGGGGCGGCCGCAGAGCCCGCGGCGCCGGGAGCGGGCUCGGGCCCGUGCAGCAGGAGCCUGUCGGCGCCCAGGGCCCGCACGGUGAUCUGCGCGGUGGAAGUGUAGUGCGGCGGCAGUGGCGGCUUGCAGGACGCGCUGGGCGGGCCGGCGGCUGCGGAUCCGGGCGCGGUGGCCCCGGACACCACUUCGAAGCAAGAGGAGAAGGCAGGCAUCUUGGCGGCGGGGACAGCGGCGGCUUCCCGGGGCUCUGUGGCCGCGGCGGGCUGGCACUCACCGGUCUCGGGCUCGGCGCCGGCGGUUCCCGGGGGCUGCAGCGAGACCUUGAAGGGGGCGGCGGCGGUGGCUGCAGGCGGCGCGGGGGCUGCGGCCGUGGGACCCGGGGCCCCGGCGGGGUAGUGGGUGCAGACGCUACUGUAGAGCUGCAUGUCCCUGCCCGCCGCUCGGCCCCUUAUAGGCGCGGCGAGCCCCCGAGCGGGGGACACACCCUCCGGGCCCGGGGGAGGGGGCCGGCGGAGCGCGGUGACCAAACGGCCCCAGAAUAG